UAAAUAAUAAAAGUAAACCCACCAUAUCCUUUAUUCCAACAUCAUUAAAUACAGCAACAUUUUCACGGAAUGCACUUACAAACGAUGAUAACGACACUCCCGCUCCUGACUCCCGCUUGAGUGCGCUUAACGUAAAUAGUUUAUUAAUAUGUGUAUACCUAGUACCCAGUGAGCCACUGGCGAGUUAGCAACUGUCAGUGCCAGUAGAUCAAAUACGAUCGUAUAUUAGUGGGUUUAUAAGUGCAUGUCUACGUAUACCAGAAAAUCGUAUUAACAUUAUAUCACUGUGCUCACUGGCGUAAGAUUAGAACUUGUCGACUAUUUUUGACUACUUGAAUCACUAAAAACCACGCACGUGUGAACCCGUCAUAUUUGUUUUACUAUUGCGUUGGCUUUACCGUUUCAAUAUUCCACCGCAAUAUAAUUCAGUGCUCUGUAUCAAAUAUUAAUUUUGUUGUUAGUCUAACACAGAUAUUAUCUCAAAUUGUAAUAAUCCACCGGGUGACAUGUGAGGGUCGCAUACCAGUAAGUGGAGUUGUUUAAACGAUAAGAGCCAGUAAGUUGGCAUUACAGUUGUCACACGCCAGU